rnacentral:rRNA from 1 species
GACGAACGCUGGCGGCGUGCUUAACACAUGCAAGUCGAACGGAAAGGCCCUGCUUUUGUGGGGUGCUCGAGUGGCGAACGGGUGAGUAACACGUGAGUAACCUGCCCUUGACUUUGGGAUAACUUCAGGAAACUGGGGCUAAUACCGGAUAGGAGCUCCUGCUGCAGGGUGGGGGUUGGAAAGUUUCGGCGGUUGGGGAUGGACUCGCGGCUUAUCAGCUUGUUGGUGGGGUAGUGGCUUACCAAGGCUUUGACGGGUAGCCGGCCUGAGAGGGUGACCGGCCACAUUGGGACUGAGAUACGGCCCAGACUCCUACGGGAGGCAGCAGUGGGAAAUAUUGCACAAUGGGCGGAAGCCUGAUGCAGCAGCGCCGCGUGCGGGAUGACGGCCUUCGGGUUGUAAACCGCUUUCGCCUGUGACGAAGCGUGAGUGACGGUAAUGGGUAAAGAAGCACCGGCUAACUACGUG